rnacentral:rRNA from 1 species
AGUGAACGCUGGCGGUAGGCCUAACACAUGCAAGUCGAACGGCAGCACAGUAAGAGCUUGCUCUUACGGGUGCCGGGUGGCGGACGGUGGAGGAAUACAUCGGAAUCUACUUUUUCGUGGGGGAUAACGUAGGGAAACUUACGCUAAUACCGCAUACGACCUACGGGUGAAAGCAGGGGAUCUUCGGACCUUGCGCGAGUGAAUGAGCCGAUGCCGGAUUAGCUAGUUGGCGGGGUAAAGGCCCACCAAGGCGACGAUCCGUAGCUGGUCUGAGAGGAUGAGCAGUCAAACGGGAACAGAGAAACGGACAGGACCCCGACGGGAGGCAGCAGGGGGGAAUAUUGGACAAUGGGCGAAAGCCUGAUCCAGCCAUGGCGCGUGUGGUAAGAAGGCCUGCGGAUUGGAAAGCACUUUGAGGGGGGAGGAAGAGCAGUAAGUGAAUACCUUGCUGGGUUGACGUUACCAAAAGAAUAAGCACCGGCUAACUUCGGG